AAUUCAUUCAAGUGUUUAUUCAGCAAACCUGUUUUUUGUGUCUUUGGCAUGUGAAGGGCAUUGUGUGAAACCAUGCUAACAAACAGGACCAGGACUGUAUCGCCCCUUUCAGAUCUGCAGCUAAAUGAUUACUGUACAGUGUGAUAAGAAAAUGGAAUCACAGCAAAUAUAAGCAACAUACCCAGGAGCACGCAGCUGGCAAACAGCUGAGCUAGCACUUGGACUCAGGCAAACUGGCUCCCGAGCCUGCACGUGUAACCACUGUGUGACACUGCCUCUCAGAGCAGCUUCGUGUUGCCUUCGGAACAGGUCUUCGGAAGAGUGUCUGGAAAAUGCCUUGACACAUUCUAAUUAUUUGUUCCUUUAUCAUGGGAAUGUUUUUGAAAUCUUGGAACCAGAAAACUGCCAAGCUAUCUUCUUAAUUCUUGUUUCGUGACACUUAACUUCGAAUACAGAAUUUAUUAUGGCUGGUUAACUUAGAACUCUCUUGAUUCUAAAAACAGCUUCCUGACUUAUUCUUCAGUCUGCCAGAGCUGUUCUUUGCAGCAGUAUUUUAACCCCUUCACAUCUUUCUUUAUGUCACCAUGACAUUAACUUAUACCACAACCACAUCUCUGGAAGGGGUAGCCAUUCAUAUGCAAAAGCAUAUCACAGAUGACACCUUAGAAGCCCUUCUUGACUGGAUUCACAAAACACUGACAAAAACCCUCUUUUCUACAUCCAAUGGGGCAUUCAGGCCCACCAAAGUUUUUUUUUUUUUUUUCAAAUUCCUCAGAGGUAAUAUUCUCACAGUCACUCUGACUUUGACUUUCAGUUCCCAUUGAAGUGUUGAUCUCCCUUGCCAUCUGCUUCCCUAUGCUCCAUAGUGACCCAUACCUGGCUUCCUUCUCCUCCUAGACUUCCCUGUGGAUUGCACACACACAAGGCAUUUUUAGGUAUAACAGACUUUAUUGAAUGUUUGGGGCAACAGGGAUCAGUUAGCAGUUCCAUCACCACAACACAACCUCAAACUGAAUUUAGAAUUUUCUGUUUCUAAAUGUCCUCCAGUCAUCCCAUCACAGAAUUCUCUUAGGUCACCCUUGUAGCAAGCUCCAGUCUCUUGCAGCUUCAUCCUGCUCCAGUUCUAGCUAUACUUUAAAUACAGUUUUUCUCGCAUUUUAUGCACAGUUGUCUAGCUGGCAACUCCUUAUUUGACUUCAUGCCUGCCUUUGUCUAAAAAUUUGUUAAUAUCUUGCUAAACAAAAUGACCAUUGAUUCUUUACCAGUAUAGCAGAACUGGCAGUGACUUUUUUCUCAAUGACAGGAAUUUUAACUUUCCCCUCUGAUAUAAGAAGUGGCCAUAGUCAUUUUGAGUUUUAAACACAUUUAUUAUUUAGGCUAAACUAGUAACAAAAAUGUAUUAGUGUUGCUUUUAAAAAUAUGAUAAGAAACACAGUGUACUAUGGAGUGUAUAUAACUUCCUCAUCUUCUGGUAAAUGAACAUUAAUAUGAAAGUAAACCAGUACCACUGGUUACAUUAACUGCAGGAGGUAGUGGUGGGUCUGCGGCCAGCUUUACCUUUGGGGAGAAAUUCUUGAAUAAGGCAGUGGUUGCUAAUCAAAUCUCAUUUCUGCUUGUUAAUGGUGCCCAGUAGAGAACAUUACCCAUACCUCAGUACAGGGCUCAGGUAGAAACAAGGGGAGAGAAUGGAUCCAGACCAAGUGAGGCUGUGACAGUUGACUACUAUAAGGGUGCAUUAGUCUGUUCUCACACUGCUACAAGAGAUACCUGAGGCUGGGUAAUUUAUAAAGAAAAAGAGAUUUAGUGGACUGACAGUUUCACGUGGCUGGGAGGCCUCACAAUCAUGGUGGAAGGCAAAGGAGGAGCAAAGGCAUAUCUUACAUGGCAGCAGGCAAGAGAACGUGUGUAGGGGAACUGCCCUUUAUGAAACCAUCAGAUAUUGUGAGACUUAUUCACUAUCAUGAGAACAGCAUGGGAAAAACCCACCCCCUUGAUUCAAUUACCUCCCACCAGGUCCUUCCCAUGACAUGUGGGGAUUAUAGGAGCUACAAUUCAAGAUGAGAUUUGGGUGGGGACACAGCCAAACCAUAUCAAAGGGCAUCUGAACAAUCCACAGACCUAUCCCAAGAAUGGGUGUGGUGAAGGCAGUUCAUGGUAACAGAGGCUGACAAUCUGGCACAUGGUACCAGAGGCUGACAAUCUGGCACAUUGGGGGUUCCAGGUGGAGCACAGAGUGCAAAGUCAGGCAUAGCUAAUCCACAGCAGAGGCACCUGCUUCUUCACAGCAGCAUGGCAACCACUGACCGGAGGAUGGCAGCAAGACCCUGAGAGAGGGGCUUAGAUGGGUCUUUGGCUAGGGUUCUAGUCCUACAAGGAGUCAAAGUUAUUGGUCAGCAUGUCCACAAAGAUUAUGGAAAAAAAUGUUUCAACACAGUAACUGGAAAAGUUGCCAUUGGAAGGCCUGAGGGACCUCUACUGCUUGUCCCUUGCAGGGUCUGAUUGACAGCACAAUUUAAUUCCUAAGUCUGUGUAUGGGAGGCAGUUUGUGUCUUCUGAUCUAAUUCUUGCCAUUUUCAUGAUUAGCUCAGGAGCCUUGGCAGUCCUGGGCAUAUGAGGACCUUGGAAGGCAAAGUCAGGGAAAUGUGUCAGGGCCAGUGAUCAUAGAACAUCAUUCAGCACACACUGGGAUACAGAAGACCCUGGCUUUCCUCCUGGGGCAUAGGCAGCUAGAAGGAGCAUUGUUUCUAUUCUUAUAAUGCAAAAAUUAAAAAGUGUAUCAAACUAUAAGUUAUGAAUUGUCUGGAACUCAUAGAGGACCUUGGUUGUAGGACAACCAACUGACUCAGAAUCUAAGAAGAGAAUGGGGCCUCCAGAAAGAGACAAGACACACAUGCUGGCUUGGUAGGGGGUAGACGCUGUUGGGUAAAUUGAUGGAGGCUGAGAGUGAACUGAUAGGAAACUGAAGAACCUGAGGAGAGACAGAAUUGUGGGAGUGCGUGUACUCUCUAGGGCUUUCCUCCAUGAACCCCAAUGGGUACUUACAGAAGAUAUUGGAGAAAGACUUUUAAAUGUGUCCUUUCUGGAUAAAAUAAAACAGGAAAGGGAGGUACUUUAGUUGAAAGGCUGGACCUUAUGGAUGAGGAAGCAAGGCAUGUGGACUUUUGAGGGAUGAGCAUUCCAGGCAGAAGGAGCAGCAAGUACACAGGCCCUGAGUUGGGAGUGGCCUGGCUGGUGAGAGGAGUAGAAAGGAGACCAGUGUGGCUGGAGCUGGAUGAUCAGGGAGAAGAGGAAUAGAGAUGAAGCUAGAGCGGGAUCAGGGGCUGGGUUGUAUAGGGUCUUUGGGAUGACUGAAUGACAGACUUUGGCUUUUGGUUUGAGUAAGAUGCUGAAACCAUUGGAGGGUUUUGAAUAAGAGGUGAUUUAACAUGACCUUUGAUUUAAAAUGAUCUUGAAAAUAUUUGGCAAUUUCCAAUGAGGUUUAACGUACAUUAACCCUUUGACUCUGCAAUCACAUUGCUGGGUAUUUAUCCUAGAGAAAUAAGAAUGUAUGUUUGCACAAAAUCUUAUGUAUUCAUGUUCAUAAAAGCUUUAUUUGUAAUAGUCCCAAAUCAGAAAUAACCCCAAAUGUCUUUCAGUGCUCAAUGGGUAAAUGGAAAAACAAACUUUGGUAUAUCAGUAUGAUGGAAAACUACUCAAGAAUAAAAACAGCCUUGUGCAGUGGCUCACACCUGUAUUCCCAGCACUUUGGGAGGCCAAGGCAGGAGGAUUGCUUGAGCAUAGGAGUUCUAGAUUAGCUUGGGCAACAUGGUGAGACCCCAUCUCUAGCAGGAAAAAAAAUUAGUCGGGUGUGGUGGUGUAUACCUGUAGUUCCAGCUACUUAGGAGGCUGAGGUGGGAGGAUCUCUUGAGCCUGGGAGGCUGUGUGAAACAUGAUCGCACCACUGUACUCAGCCUGGGCAACAGAGCAGACUCUUUCUCAAAAAAUAAUAAAAAUAAAGAGAUAUCAAAUACAUUUAACAGCUUGCAUGGAUCUCAAGGACAUUAUGCUAACUGAAAAAAAAAGCCAAUUCCAAAAGGUUUUAUACUGUAUGGUUCCACUUAUAUAACAUGUUCAAAAUGGAAAAAUCAUAGUGAUGGAGAACAGAUCAGUGGUUGUUGGGGUUUAGGGUUGGGGAAGGGUAUACCUGUAAAUGAGUGGCAUAGGAUGUUUCUUUGUGGUGAUGGAACAGUUCUGCAUCCAUUUUGUUUUUUGUUUUUGUCUUUGUUUUGUUUUGUUUAUGAGGCAGCGUCUUGCUCUAUCACCUAGGCUGGACUGCAUUGGUGCUAUUUGGCUCACUGUAGCCUUGACCUCCUAGGCUCCAGCAAUCCUCCCGACUCAGCCUCCCAAGUAGCUCAGACCACAGGUGUGCACCACCAUACCUGGCUUAUUUAAAAUAAAAUGAAAUUUUUGUAGAGAUGGGGUCUCAUGUUGCCUAGGCUUGCCUCAAAGUUGUAGGCUCAAGCAGUCCUCCUGCCUUGGCCUCCCAAAAUGCAGGGAUUGCACGUGUGAGCUACCACAUCCAUUCCAGUUUUGUAUCCUGAUUGUAAUAAUGAUUGCACAAAUCCAUAUGUGUGAUAACAUUUCAUAGCAAAAAUGUGUAUAUAUGUGUAUAUAUAUAUAUAAGUGAGUAAAUGAAAAGAGUGGUAGACUCCUGAAAAGGUCUCUCAUUUAGAUAAAGUAUUGUACCAAUGCCAGCUGUGUGAUGUACUAUGGUUAUGUAACUUGCUCUCAUUGGUGAGACCUGGGAGAAGGAUACACAGAAUUUCUCUGUAUUGUUUUUGCCAUUUCUUGUGAGUCUAAAAUUAUUUCUAAAUAAAACAUUUUUUAAAAAAGGUUCUCUCUGGAAGUUAUGUUGAAUCAACACUGAAGGGACAAAGGGGAAGCAGGGAGACCAAUUAGGAGGCUGCUGUAGUCAUCCAGGUAAGAGAUGAUGGUGGCUGGGACCAAGGUGGAAUUGGUGAUGGAAUUCCUACCUGUCCCUUCCAGGCUGUGCAAUGGGACAACUUUAAGAGCCAGAGUCUCCAGCUGUCACUACCCUGUCACCAUCCCUACUAUCAUCUCUGGACCCCAUAUUUCACCUGUGCUCACCCUGACACCACUUCUGCCCUUGUGUCUCCUCACAGCAAGUGUGGGUGCUACUUCCCCUGAGAUGCCAUGAGUUUCUUUUUCCUUAUUGCCAGGAUUGCCCUGAGCCAUCACAGGCCCUUGAUUUUUACUAUCUAAGCUGUAUUUCCUCUGCCCAUCCAUUAGGAAGAAGAUUGCUGUCUGGUUUGAACUGGAAUUUCUCGCUAUGUCCCACUGGAG
rnacentral:lncRNA from 1 species